UCCUUGUUAGUAUAUCGGUUCAGUACACGCGCCUGUCAUGGACGUUCGAAGAUGGGACUACGCGCGAGAGCUGGGUUCGACUCCCAGACAGGGAG